rnacentral:misc_RNA from 1 species
AAGACUAUAGACCUGCGGAGUACCUGCGGAAGGAUCAUUACCGAGUUUACAACUCCCAAACCCCAUGUGAACAUACCUGUUUCGUUCCCUCGGCGGUGUCCGGCAACGGCCCGCCAGAGGACCCAACAAACUCUUUUGAAUUUUUCAGUAUCUUCUGAGUGAAAAAAACAAUAAAUCAAAACUUUCAACAAUGGAUCUCU